AUUUACUCAGUGAGUGCAAGAGGUUUGUUUGAAACAGACCGCAAUGGAGAGAUCAGCGUCCAAGGAAGCGAGGGAACAGCAGGCUCCUUCCAGCAGUACAUCGGGAUGGGAGCCUGGGACACAGAGGGGGCUCCGAGACCGGGAUUGAUUCGGGCCGAAAAAUCUUCUGUCUUCUGCCAAGAAAAUAUUUGAAUGACGAAGACAAUGUCAUAUUUCCUCAGCACAAAGCCAAGUGUGACCAGCUGCUUCUAACAAACAGCAGGGAAAUACUUGAAGGACCAAGACAAUGUAAUUUUCCCUCGGUACAGAGCCAAGGGUGACCAGUUCCUUCUAACAAACAACAGAUAUGUUACUGCUAUCAGAGUGAAGAAUAUAAUUUCAACAGUCAGAGCGGAUUGGGUCAGCUACACGUUGAGCUCAAUUUGAGAGAAAGAAAAACAACAGAGAAAAAAAAGAGCGGGAGCAGUAGGGGAAGUGACGGCUACCAGAGGGGCAGCCGGGAAGGAAAGCAGUGAGUAUAUAAAUCAGGAAGGCAGCUAAACCCGAGAUUCUACACUGUUUUUUUAAGGCAAAUGAUUGAUGGACCAAGAUAAUGUAAUAUUUCCUCAGUGCAAAGCCAAGUGAACAGCUGCUUCUAACAACUGGCAGACAAUUACAUGAAGGAGCAAAACAAUGUAACAUUCUCUCGGUACGAAGCCAAGUGUGAUCAGUUCCUUCUAACAAACAGCAGGGUAUUCGAAGAAGAUGAUUUGCAAUGAGGAAACUUAAAACCAGGCAUCACUUCCCAAUCUGCUGAGUUUAUUGUCAUCUGACUAUCAUUGGGUUUUGCAGGAAAAAAGCACCCUUCACAAUGGGGGAGAAACUGUAUGUGUUGUACAUGUGGACAAGUCUUCAGCAGAUCAUCUGCCCUGUCACAAUAUAAAUACAGCCACACUGGGGAAAGGCCACUCAUCUGUUCCAAAGGAUUCACUCAAUCAUCCACCCUGCUGAAACCCCAGCAAGUUAACAGAGAGAACAGACCUUUGAAAUUCUCAGAAUGUGGGAGGUGCUUUAAAAAUUCUGGGGCAUUGAUAUCCCAACAACAUCCUCACUGUAAUGAGAGACCCUUCAUGUUCUCUCACGGUGGUGUGGGUUCAAACCAUCACCCAACCUCAUUAAACACCAGCAGAUCCACACUGGAGAGAGACCGUUCACUUGCUCACACGACAGGAAAGGAUUUUCUCAUAAAACACCAGCGAUCUCUCGGAAGUUAGAGGCUGUUCUGCUGCACUGACUGUUGGACGAGAUUCAUUGUGAAAUCCAAGCUGAAACACCAGCAUAUUAAUUAGAAAAUUCAGAGCCUUUUUUUAAAUGUGAACAUCUCCCUGCUUCAUAGUCCCACCUGAUGUGUAGCUAUGUCAAAGAACUUAAUUAUUUUUGUAAUUGAUAACUGAAUGAUAUCCACUGGGGCAGGUUUCUGCUGAACAUAAUAUACUCCAGCUUAGUUAAAGGGAUGACUUAGUUAAAGGGAAUGAGAGUAAAAUAAAUUCACUUUGUAUUAAACACAA